rnacentral:rRNA from 1 species
UACGUAGGGUGCAAGCGUUAAUCGGAAUUACUGGGCGUAAAGCGUGCGCAGGCGGUGAUGUAAGACAGAUGUGAAAUCCCCGGGCUCAACCUGGGAACUGCAUUUGUGACUGCAUCGCUGGAGUGCGGCAGAGGGGGAUGGAAUUCCGCGUGUAGCAGUGAAAUGCGUAGAUAUGCGGAGGAACACCGAUGGCGAAGGCGGCAUCCUGGACUGGUCCUGACACUCAGGAGCGAAAGCGUGGGGAGCGAUCCGG